GGACAGGCCGCCGGCGCCAGCAAAGGCCACUCCGUUAUUUGGUCAGAUCCCCGACAGUCAUUGCCGCCAGUAGGAACAGAACAAGCCUCCUGCAGAUACACAACCUCUUCCCAGGCAAUGAGGGGGUAAACAGCCUCAUAGGUCAUAAGAGCAGGUCACUGGAGGUCAUACGCUCCGCCACGGGGUCACUGGAGGUCAUACGCUCCGCCACGGGGUCACUGGAGGUUAUAUGCGCC